rnacentral:lncRNA from 1 species
GCAUGUUCUAGACAUUUGGUUAAAUUUACUUUCACCGGCUACAUUAUGUGAUGGUUUAUGUUCUAGAUAGAUAGUUAUCGUCACAUAAAGAGUUUUCAUGGUCGUUUUGGGGGUGAUACUUGUCCUAAAGACUUUAUCAAGUGCGACUUUGCAAUAUAAAGUAUCAAAGAUGAUUUAGUUAUGUAAUAAUGUCUCUUAUGAUCACAUAUGUAAAUCGUUUGCGCACAUACAAUGUGAUGCCUAAAGAUAAGAUUACUAUUGUGGAUGUAAAAAGGAAACCAUGGUUGUUGAUCGAUUAUCAUAAGUUUGGUAUAAGUUUUAUGAUCCUAUUAUGAAGAAAAUUAUCAUAAGUUGUAAUGUUGAAUUCAUUGAAGACCAAUGGUUGAAAAAUAUUAAUAUGUACGUGAUUUUAG